rnacentral:rRNA from 1 species
UACGGGGGGGGCAAGCGUUGUUCGGAAUUACUGGGCGUAAAGGGCUCGUAGGCGGCCAACUAAGUCAGACGUGAAAUCCCUCGGCUUAACCGGGGAACUGCGUCUGAUACUGGAUGGCUAGAGUUUGGGAGAGGGAUGCGGAAUUCCAGGUGUAGCGGUGAAAUGCGUAGAUAUCGGAAGGAACAUCAGUGGCGAAGGCGACUUCCUGGACCAAUACUGACGCUCAGGUGCGAAAGCGUGGGGAGCAAACAGG